CGGAGGAGGUGAAGGCAUCGGAAAGGCUGCCUUAGUUCAGCAGGGGACGCAGAAUCACCCUUGGCUGCAUUACAGAGCUUGCUUAACAAAAUGUUGGGCCUAAAGGGGGCCAUAAACAGGGCAACCAUGUACUGUAUCUAUCUGGCUAUCCCUCAUGUAAAGAUCAGAUCUGCUGAUGUACUAUAUACUUGCAGCAACAGAUCAUUUGCAGAUAACAUUUUUAAAACAUGCCCAAUCUACAAACUGAACUGUUUCUAUAGUAUUUGGAUAUAGAUAGGGAUAAUGUAUUACCAGCUUAUUACCAAUAUGCUUCAGGCAUCUUUUAAUGUGGGGCCCCAACAAGUGUACAAGUACUGGGAACUAGAAAGAAAGUUUUCCUGCACCAUAACACAGUUAAUCUAGAAUCCUGGUAUAAAUCAAGUAAACCAAGACCACUGGUAAAUGUCCUCCUCUGCCUCAGAUCAGAACAGCAGUGGACCAAUCACCUCUCUCUCCAUCUGUCAUUUAUGAGUAUACUACCGCAUGACAAAUGCCCUAUUGAACACCUGAAAGGCAGCAACAAGCAGACCUGACAAAUUGGAAGUGUUUUGUCAACAAGAUAUUUUCAUCCCUUAUCCAAGUACUGCAUGACAAAUGAUAUUACAAACAGGGGGAUAGCUAGAAGUCACUGGACUCCAGAGAAAUUUCUUUUUACACUCCCAAAACUUCAAGGUGGUGAUAUAUUUGUAAGAAUAUAUUGAAACUAUACAUCUGUCAGUACUAAAUCGUACUCCUGGCCAUCCUAUCAGCCACAAAAAGUCUUGAGCGUAUCAGAUUUUUAAUGCAUUUUAUUUUUACUUUAUCAGCCACAGUUGUUAUAGAAUAUUUCACAUGAUGUAAAAUAAACAUCAGUUAGUUAAUCUUAACCCCCAUAUAUAGAUGACAAAUUCUUAACAGUAUUACUAAUAAAGUAAUCAUAGAAUGAUCAUAAAACUCAGGGCUUCUACAAUCUCUAUAUAUCUGUGUUUGUACUAUAAAAUUGACAUGUAAUGAGAGCACCCCCUUUUUAAUGAUAAAAUUGUCUGAGAACAAAAUAAAAGGAGCGCUCGGUCAGGCUCAGCUUCACGCACAGCAGUGCUUGGAUAGUGAUGUCACAAGGCAAUAUUGCGAAUGUCAUGACAUGGUUCUGAGUCCUCCCUGAAACAAGAUCCAUGCAAAAUGUGCUAUAAACUGACUCUUGGACAUGUCCUUGCCUGCUUUGUGCUUCUAGCAAACUUUUGAUUGAGAAUUUGAUUUCUGAA